UACGGAGGGUGCGAGCGUUGUCCGGAAUCAUUGGGCGUAAAGGGCGUGCAGGCGGUUUGUUAAGUGCAGGGUGAAAGCUCCCGGCUCAACUGGGAGAGGUCCUUGCAUACUGGCGAACUCGAGGGAGGCAGAGGAAAGUGGAAUUCCCGGUGUAGUGGUGAUAUGCGUAGAUAUCGGGAGGAACACCUGUGGCGAAGGCGGCUUUCUGGGCCUUACCUGACGCUGAGACGCGAAAGCGUGGGGAGCGAACCGG
rnacentral:rRNA from 1 species